AUUGAACGCUGGCGGCAGGCUUAACACAUGCAAGUCGAGCGGUAACAGAGAGAAGCGUGCUUCUCUGCUGACGAGCGGCGGACGGGCGAGUAAUGCCUAGGAAUCUCCCUAGUAGUGGGGGAUAACUUGCCGAAAGGUAAGCUGAUACCGCAUACGUCCUACGGGAGAAAGGAGGGGACCUUCGCGCAUUUCGCUAUGAGAUGAGCCUAGGUCGGAUUAGUUAGUUGGUGGGGUAAUGGCUAACCAAGACCGCGAUCCGUAACUGGUCUGAAAGGAUGAUCAGUCACACUGGAACUGAGACACGAUCCAGACUCCUACGGGAGGCAGCAGUGGGGAAUAUUGGACAAUGGGGGGAACCCUGAUCCAGCCAUGCCGCGUGUGUGAAGAAGGUCUUAGGAUUGUAAAGCACUUUAAGUUGGGAGGAAGAGCAGUUAACUAAUAUUUGACUGUUUUGACGUUACCGACAGAAUAAGCACCGGCUAACUUCGUGCCAGCCGCCGCCGUAA
rnacentral:rRNA from 1 species